AUAUUUUCCUUUGGAAACUCUCUAAACAAUAUGGUUCUCUCCUGUCCUUACGACUUGGAUUUAGGCCAACCCUUGUAGUUUCUUCAGCAAAAAUGGCUAAAGAGGUUAUGAAAACUCGUGACCUCGACUUCUGCAGCAGGCCUAAUCUAUGUGCUAUUCGCAAAUUAUCUUACAAUACAUCGGAUUUGUCUUUUUCACCAUACAGUGAGUCCUGGAAGGAGAUUAGGAAAAUUUGUGUUAUACAUCUGUUCAGCAGAGUGCGAAAGUAUCGUUCCAUUCGAGAAGACGAAGUUGCUCACCUGGUUGAGAAAAUACGUCGAUUAUCCGUUGAUUCUAAGCCUGUCAACUUGAGUGAGGCAAUGGUGUGCUUAUCCUGUUCAAUAAUUUCAAGAGUGGGCUUCGGUAAGACUUACGAUGAAGAAGGAGCUGAAGGAAGUAGGUUACAUGGGCUGAUUAAAGAAAGUGUAGCCAUGUUUACAAGCUUUAGUUUUUCUGACUGUUUUCCUUUCAUGGGUUGGGUUGAUAGAUUCACUGGGUUUCACGCUCGUCUUGAAAAAUUUUUCAUAGAACUUGAUACCUUCUAUCAACAACUCAUUGAUGAACAUCUUAAUCCGAAUAGGCUAAAACCAGAGCAAGAGGACAUACUCGAUGUGCUAUUACAGACAUGGAAGGACCGUGAUUUUCUAUUUGAUCUUACCCUAGAUCACAUAAAAGCUGUUAUUAUGGUUAUUUCAUCUUCACCCAAAGCGUUUAUUAUUAGCUUCACGCUUUAUGUAUCAUAACUUUGAUUUUUUUUAACUUCUGCAGGAUGUUCUUUUUGCUGGAACGGAGACAACUGCGGUUACUGUGAUUUGGGUCAUGAGCUUCUUGAUGAAAAAUCCAGAGUGUUUGAAGAAAGCUCAAGAGGAAGUAAGGGAUUUGAUUGGGAAAAAUAGAUUUCUAAACGAAGAUGAUGUUCAAGCUUUAACUUACCUAAAGGCUGUGGUAAAAGAAACAUUCAGAUUGCAACCAACACUUCCAUUGUUGCUACCACGAGAAACACUUCGAAAAUGCUGCAUAGGUGGGUACCAAGUACCUGCCAAUACCUUGGUGUAUGUGAAUGCAUGGGCAAUAGGAAGAGACCCUGAAGCUUGGAGAAACCCUGAAGAAUUUUGUCCUGAAAGGUUCAUUGGCAGCUCUAUUGACUACAAAGGGCUCAACUUUGAGCUCAUACCGUUUGGUGCGGGUAGAAGGGUUUGCCCUGGAAUGCAUAUGGCAGUUGCAGCAGUGGAGCUUGUUCUUGCUAAUCUUCUUUACAAGUUUGAUUGGGAAAUGCCGACCGAAAUGAACAAGGAAAACUUAAACUUUGAUGGCACGCCUGGCUUAGUUACGCACAAAAAAGAUGCUCUUAUCCUUGUGGCUGGGAAGAUUAAUGAUUAAUCAGUGUAUCAUUAUAGUAACUUAUUUGAUGCUUAUUGCUCUAGUUUCUACUUUGUACAGUUUCAUCUUGAACACUUAUCAAACGUUAGAAACACCUCGCUUGUUUAAUUAACCUGCAAUUACUGCUAUGUUUGUCAAGCUACCAUCUCAAUUGAAUAUAUAUAUAUAUAUAUAUAUUGCAAAAAGCAAUUUAUAUAUAUCUGCAAAUAUACAAAUAUGUGUUAUCCAUUAACCAUUAUUAUCCUUACAUAUAUAGUAUGAAGGAAUAUUGUAUUUCUCAGUUGGUGUGUGGUACAAUUAACAAACACUAGUUUUCAUUCUUUAAUCGCACAGGUUAGUUGUAUGUAUUACAUAUACGAAUGAAAUAAUGUAUUCUUACAAAUAUGCACAUAGCUUACAAGAUUAAGCAUUAAACUAGGUUCAAACCAAAACAUUAUUCACAAGAAACACAUAGAUAAACACCUAAGUUCAUGCCACAAUAUCGAGUUACAAAAUGAGCAAAAGUUUAUUGAGGUGAUAGGUGAAUAGUAUGAGCUUCAAGGCGAUCCGAACGACACGAUCCGCAAACCGACAAUCUACAGAAAAAGGAAAAACACUGGGUAAGCAUUUCGAAUACUUAAUAAGCCCAUAUAAAACUUACUCAACUUACCUUAACAUUUUAACAAUUAGGUAAAUGUACUACAUUGAAAUCAAGCUUAAAAUUCCUUUUGCAUCACAUUCCUCUAUAUGCAAUUCAAUAAACACAUCAAUGGUUAGUUCAAUUCCAUAGCACAAGUUUAUAUCACAAUCAUAUAAAUGCAGAAAUUUCCAUCACACAACAUAUAUAAACUACUUUAUAUUUAAAACUUUAACAUGUAUAAUUCUAUUUACAUAUGUAUUCAUUUCUAUUUUCACCCAGAGAACUCUAGUAAAUUGAACUAGGAUACACGACAUUGAUUUAAUUACAUAUGUUGACAUUACCGGGCUACUAACACUAGCUUAGUACGAUGCUAUAAACAUUAGCUUCAGAGAACCGCAACAUAUGUUGGAUCUCAAGUCAUCAUAUCAAUUUCUCAUUUUUCUUUUCUGUAUCAUUUCAAACCCUAUAACCAUAUACACACUUUUCAUAUAUCGAAUGGUAAUUCAUAUACAUCUUAACUUUGUAACAUCAUCAUAUACACAUCUUCUAAUAUUAUAACAAUUUCACAUCAUUCGAUAUCAUAUAUUUCAUAAUUUACAAUUUAGUUCAUUCGAUGCCAAAGAUCAUUGAAAUUACAAUUAACCUAAAUUAAUAAACACUAUUGUAACAAGCCAAAUUCAUCCGGCCCAAACCCAAACAAAACAAACCAAAAAACAGUUAAAACAAAAAAUAAAUAAAAGUCCAUUAACACUCCAAAUUACAAGCCUAAAACCCAAUCUACUAACCUAAACCCCAAGCCCAAAUACAAAAAAAAAACCCUAAAGCCCAAUAGCCAACUAUCCUAAACUAAAAAAAAAAAAAAACCCUAAAAGUCCCUAUGCCUCUAGCCGCCGUCCUCACCACAUUAGCAGGCAUGUCGUCUAAGGCCUGGCACCUCCUCGUCCUUGCCACCACCGCCCGCAAAAAACAGAGAAAUAGAGACAAAGAAGCAGAGAAAAGAAAGAAAAAAUAUUAUCAUUUUGUAAUAUAUUUCGGCUAUAAAAGCCGAAAAUAGAUUGUAACAAAAAAAAUUUGGCAGAGAAUACAAAAAAAAAACCAAGUUAAAAAAGGUGUUUCUUUUAUUUAAUCUACUAUUUUAUUUUACUUUUUUUCAUAAAAAGCAUAUAAAAUAAUGAACAAGGUUUAAAAAAAACUUACCUCAAUAUCGCUUCAUCUUCCACCACCGUCGUUGAUGGCUUUCUGCCAAUUCGAAUGGUCUAUGAACCCAUUAGGGUUCGUCAAUGGCCUCGACGGAGAAGAGGAAAAUAGAAUACAACAAAAAAAAAAAAACAAAGGUAGUCAAUCUUUUUUUUAUACCUUUUUAUUUCGUAAAAUAUAAAAAUAAAAAAAUAUAUAUUUAAAUUUUUUUACCUGUUAAGCGCCUUCAUAGAAUCCCUUCCUCCGACUCGAAAAGCCUCGGAACCCCUAGGGUUCCGUUGAGGGCCUCGUCGGAGAAGGGAGAAACUGAAAGGAUUCUUUUCCUUCGACUAAACCUCGACUAAAUUUCUAGGGAUUUAAACCCCAAAUAUGUAUUCUACUCGAAAAGAGGGUCAAAAGGGCCUAUUUUGGGGAACUCUAGCCACCGAAGGCGGCAAUCUCCGUCGUUGAUAACCGGUGGCCACGGUGGAGACCCACCAUCUCAUGGCCGGACAAAAAGGGGGUUGAGAGAGUAGAAGAGUUUUUUUUUUUUUAAAAAGGUUACAAAUGAUUUUUUUUAAAAGAUUUUUUUGACUUAUAUAAGCUCCUUAAAACAGCGUCAUUUUGGGUUUGUCUUCAAACGCCCAAAACGGUGUCAUUUCAAGCCUAAUCCGAAUUCUGACCCGACCCUUCCUAAGAUCUGCGUGUUUUUGAACGGAGGGGCUAAUUGCCAUUUUGGUUCUUCCACCUUUUUGCCCCUUUUUAAUCUUGUCCUAUUUCUUUUUUAUUUAUUUUAAUUUUACCCCUUUUAAUUUAUUUUCUUACAUUUUAGUCCCUUGACCUACUGUUGACCCACUGAGGGUGACACGUGUACUGGGGUUGGGGAAAAUAGCACACUAGGUGGCUAUAUUUUUCCACUUUGUUUUAAUUUAAUCCUUUUUUUUCUUGCAAUUCGGACUUUAAAAUGUUUUAGGGUUUCAAUUUAGUCCUUAUUUUUUAUUCGGUCCCUUUACUUUAUGUUAUUUAAAUUCCAGCAUGUUUAAAUUUUUAUUUAUUAUUUUUUCCCUUUAAAUUACGAAAUUUACAUUUUACCCUCAAAUUUCCAAAUUAUUUCCUUUUAGUCUUUUAUUUACUUCUUUGUUUUUUUUUUAAUUUGCACUUUAAAUUUAGUCCUCUAUUCAUUUUAUUCAGCAUAUUUAUUUCUUUUUAAUUCCCUGCACUUUUAAUCUUUGUUAUUUAUAUUUUUUCCCUUCAAAUUGUAUAAUUUGUUAUUUGGUCCUUAAAUAUUAUUAUUAGCACUAAUUAACAUGUUUUUAUAACAUUAUUAUUAGUUAUGAUAUAUUGCAUUAUUUAUGUUCUUAUGACAUCAUAUACAACAUUUAAACAUACUCGUGUAUCUCAUACAGGGUAUUAUGUUCGAAUAAGUCCAUAGUAUGUCAUAUUAGAAGCCUCAUUUUCAUACAUUGUAUAUUUAGCAAUUUGAACCAAGGCGGUGUUCUUUAAUUAGGGGACUCAAGAAAUUGUGCCUCUAACUUACGGAGUACGAUUUUCUCUUUGAACCGAAAUAAUCAAACUUUCAUCCUCUUUUUUUAAAAAAUAAAUUUUAAAAAUACAUAAGAUUUGGGCAAUAAUUAAACGACGAGCGUUCUUAUUUUUGAGAAUUCGAGGUUUUGGGUCCCAACUUACGGGACAUGACCUUUCAUCUUAAUCGGCCCGAAAUGAGAAAACCUCUUCAUUAAAAAUUCAAUUUAGAUAGUGACAUUUUCAGCGCCAUCAAAUAACAUCAUGUAAAAAGGGAUCUCAUUUUAAAUUCUCUUCGGAUUCUCAAUUUUUGACGUCAAGAUAUUAAGUAAUCAACUAGGUACUAAUUUUGGGCAUUAUGACGGUGUUAAUCAUUCCUCAUACGUAACCGACUCCCGAACCCAUUUCCUGAAUUUUGUAGACCGAAAAUCAUCUUUUUAGUAAAUCUAACAUUUUAUUAAAAUGACCAAGUUUUGAGGUGGUCUAAUCACACCUAAUUAAAAAGGAUUGGUGGCGACUCCAUUUUCACUUUAAAAUAACAAGUCGAUUGCCAAAAAGGUUUCGACAAUUAUAAUAUAAUUCAAACAUAACAUAAAAUAACAUAGUUAGUUCCAUAUGAGCUUACCUGGAAAAACAGCAAGCAAACAAGGUGUUAAGGACUAAUCUACAAUUUCUCCUUUUUUUCGAUUAUCUUUCAAUUGAUUCAAAUUUUGAUCUAUAAUAAUUUAUUACAAUUUAUCAUUUCUAAACAUCUAUUAACAAUCUACUUUAACCAUAAAUCAGUUCAAUUUCUUUUUUUGAAUUUUUUAAAUUUUAAAUUUUAUUCAAUUUAGUCCCUAAAAUCAAAAUAGCUAUAACUUUCAAAUUUGAGCCUCGAUUUUGAAAUCAAUCUCAAUUCCAUUCUUCUACAGCCCUCUAAUAACUAUAUUUAUAGAAAUUUCACACAAAAUUUGAAAUUAUUACAUUUUAGUCCCUAAGUUCAAAACUAACAUUUUUCACUUUACAAACUAGUUAUUUUUCAAAUCUAAGUUUAAAAUUAAACUAUUGAACACUAAAACUUCAAGCAUUCAUCAAUUGCAUCAUUUAUAAACUUUAACAAUUUCGGAAAGUAAUACUUGAGUUAACUAAAUCAAACUGUAAUGAUAUCAAAAACAUAAAUUUUACAAAAAAAAAUGAAUUUUUAAUUUAGUUACAUGCAAGGGCAGAAGACCUUAAAAACAAAACAAUGGCUUCUUCUUUUUCUUCCUCCUACAAUGGGGGAUGAUGGGAAAAUAAAAGAUGGUGACUUUCAUUUUAUUUUAUUCUUUUAACUUAUUAUAUUUUUAAUUUUAUUUUAUCAAAUCCUCCAACCACCCGUCCACUAACAUAUAAAAUGGCUUAUUUUCCAUUUUGUACCAUGGUUUAAUUACUACUUUAGUCAUUUAGCAAUUACAAAUCUAUAGCAAUUAACUUUUGUUGUUUUUAUGAUUUAGUCAUUGUACUCUAAUUAGCUAUCUAAACAGCAAAAUUAAUGGGCCAAACUUCAAUUAAAUUUUAUACUAACCUCGUAAAUAUUAUAUUUAAUAUUUAUGGACUGGCUCGUCGAAAAUGGGGUUCUGAAACUACUGUUUCUGACACCACUGACUUUCAGGUCGAAACACCUGUACAUUAACUAACUAUCCAAUUAACAAAAUCGUCAAACCAAAAUUUAAUAUAAUACUCAAAUUAACUCACAAAUAUUAAUUAAUAAUAUUUACGAAUUUGAUCAUCGGAGAACGGGAUUUCGAAACCACUAAAAAAUAGGUUGUUAUAAUAUAAUAUUAAAAGUGCAUGAUUAUAUAAAUAUUGUUUUUUUAUACGGUAUAAAUAUUGUUUAAAUUUUUAAAAACUGUAUGAAAUUUUUAAAAGUUUUUUUUAGGUAAUAUGUUUCUAAACUAUUAUUUCUUAAUUUUAAAAUAAAAAAAGUAUAUUUUUAUAUUAAUAUAAGCUUUAACAGUAUUUGAAUGAAAAAUAAAGGUUUGCAUAUUUUCAAAUUAAUUAUAAAUAAUUUUUUAAUUUUAUUAUAAUUUUUUAAUAAGUUGAAAUUCGAAUCAGAAUUUAAAAACAAAACAACUUAAUUUAGAAGAAUAUUGGGUGCAUAUUCCACAAAAUAGAAAUGAUCAUAAUAAGAAUAUAUAAUUUUUCUGAUUACAUUACUAAUACUAAAAAAUGAAUAUAUAUUAGGCGCAUCGACACGUUACAUUUCACAAAAUAGAAAAAUUGGAAAGCGACAUAUACCCACAAACUCUAAUCAUAUUUAAUAAAGUGGUGGAUAUUUUUUCAAUUAAUGCCACUGAUAAUGAUGCUUCUUUUAACUCAUUCUCCUAAAACAUUGUAUUAGCCAUAAUGCCAAUUUUAUUCUCCAUUCAGUCUUUUCUUGUUUCCUCAUCUAAAUGACAAGCUUUCAUUUUCUUUAAACUUAAAAAAAUGAUUGAAAAAGAGUAGGAUAUAGUAGACUCUUCCUCUCAAGUUUCAAACAAAUUUGAGCAGAUAUUUAGAAUGGCAAUAGCACUGUUUACAUUCAUCUUUCUUCUAGCUCUCCCUUUCUUCCUCUUCAUAACUCCCCUGAAACGUAGCAUUAGCAACCAUGGCGAUUGCAAUCAUCUUCCCCCAGGCCCUCCAAGUCUUUCCUUGAUUGGUCACUUACAUAUGUUGAUGUUUGAUAACUCAGACCUCCUUCAUAUUUUCCUUUGGAAACUCUCUAAACAAUAUGGUUCUCUCCUGUCCUUACGAUUUGGAUGUAGGCCAACCCUUGUAGUUUCUUCAGCAAAAAUGGCUAAAGAGGUUAUGAAAACUCGUGACCUCGACUUCUGCAGCAGGCCUACUCUAUGUGCUAUUCGCAAAUUAUCUUACAAUGUCUCGGAUUUGUCUUUUUCACCGUACAGUGAGUAUUGGAAGGAGAUUAGGAAAAUUUGUGUUGUACAUCUGUUCAGCAGAGUGCAAAAGUACCG
rnacentral:lncRNA from 1 species